CCUACGGGUGGCAGCAGUGGGGAAUAUUGCACAAUGGGGGAAACCCUGAUGCCGCGACGCCGCGUGAGUGAAGCAGUAUUUCGGUACGUAAAGCUCUAUCAGCAGGGAAGAAAAUGACGGUACCUGACUAAGAAGCCCCGUCUAACUACGUGCCAGCAGCCGCGGUAAUACGUAGGGGGCAAGCGUUAUCCGGAUGUAUUGGGUUUAAAGGGUGCGCAGGCGGCGGGUUAAGUCAGCGGUAAAAUUUCGGGGCUCAACCCCGACGAGCCGUUGAACCUGGCUUGCUAGAGUGGGCGAGAAGUAUGCGGAAGGCGUGGUGUAGCGGUGAAAUGCAUAGAUAUUACGAAGAACUCCGAUUGCGAAGGCAGCAUACCGGAGCCCAACUGACGCUCAGGCACGAAAGCGUGGGUAUCGAACAGGAUUAGAUACCCUAGUAGUC
rnacentral:rRNA from 1 species